CGGAUUGUAGUCUGCAACCCGACUACAUGAAGCUGGAAUCGCUAGUAAUGGCAGGUCAGCAUACUGCCGUGAAUACGUUCCCGGGCCUUGUACACACCGCCCGUCACACCAUGAGAGUUGGGAAUACCCGAAGCCUGUGAGCUAACUUAUAGAGGCAGCAGUCGAAGGUAGAAUCAAUGAUUGGGGUGAAGUCGUAACAAGGUAGC
rnacentral:rRNA from 1 species